AUUGAACGCUGGCGGCAUGCCUUACACAUGCAAGUCGAACGGUAACAGGUCUUCGGAUGCUGACGAGUGACGAACGGGUGAGUAAUACAUCGGAACGUGCCCGAGAGUGGGGGAUAACGAGGCGAAAGCUUUGCUAAUACCGCAUACGAUCUCAGGAUGAAAGCAGGGGACCGCAAGGCCUUGCGCUCACGGAGCGGGCGAUGGCAGAUUAGGCAGUUGGUGGGAUAAAAGCUUACCAAGCCGACGAUCUGUAGCUGGUCUGAGAGGACGACCAGCCACACUGGGACUGAGACACGGCCCAGACUCCUACGGGAGGCAGCAGUGGGGAAUUUUGGACAAUGGGCGCAAGCCUGAUCCAGCCAUGCCGCGUGCAGGAUGAAGGCCUUCGGGUUGUAAACUGCUUUUGUACGGAACGAAAAGACUCUGGUUAAUACCUGGGGUCCAUGACGGUACCGUAAGAAUAAGCACCGGCUAACUACGUGCCAGCAGCCGCCGUAACAC
rnacentral:rRNA from 1 species